AAGCAGGGACCUGGUGUGACCCUCGUGUGAGAGUGAGCUUCAGCAAUGCUGUAAAAAUACUUUAUGUUGCCACAGACAUCUGAAUUGGUAAAAUGGCAGCCCAUGAAGCUUCCCAUCACCAACAGCAGGCAGCACAGAACAGCUUGCUGCCCCUCCUGAGCCCUGCCGUGGAGCCCCCUGAUCAGAAACCAUUGCUUCCAAUACCAAUAACUCAGAAACCUCAGGGUGCACCAGAAACAUUAAAGGAUGCCAUUGGGAUUAA